rnacentral:rRNA from 1 species
AACGCGAAGAACCUUACCAGCCCUUGACAUGUCCCGUACGGGGCCGAGAGAUCGGCUUCUUCAGUUCGGCUGGCGGGAACACAGGUGCUGCAUGGCUGUCGUCAGCUCGUGUCGUGAGAUGUUGGGUUAAGUCCCGCAACGAGCGCAACCCUCACCUUCAGUUGCCAUCGGGUAAAGCCGGGCACUCUGAAGGAACUGCCGGUGACAAGCCGGAGGAAGGCGGGGAUGACGUCAAGUCCUCAUGGCCUUUAUGGGCUGGGCUACACACGUGCUACAAUGGCGGUGACAGAGGGAGGCAGAGGAGCGAUCCCGAGCCAAUCUCAAAAAGCCGUCUCAGUUCGGAUUGUUCUCUGCAACUCGAGAGCAUGAAGCUGGAAUCGCUAGUAAUCGCGGAUCAGCACGCCGCGGUGAAUACGUUCCCGGGCCUUGUA